UACAGCAUAGGGAAUAUAGUCAAUAAUGAUGAGGGAGCAUGGGGCAAGCUGUGGGCAAAAUACAGGCUGGCACUACCCCCUUCCCCCCACUGCCACAGGUGGAAUCUGUGUGAUAGUCCUUGGACGCUCCCAGCCACCCAAGAACAAAGGAAAGGGGUUUAAGUGCUUGCCUUGGUAAUGUGGGAAACUAAGGAAAAUGAAAAAUUAAAUUCCCUUACUGCCUACAGCCCAUCGACAGGUCCUUGAAACCGGCAGAGUGACCUCCCUCAGGAACUCAGCUGCCUCGAUGAUAACACUUUGCUAGGAGCAAAAGAGAAUCUUAGCUUAACAUCAUCCCAACCUCUAGAAUCCUAGAUUCUGCCAGGAAGAAGGGAUGCAGUGGUGCUCAAGACAGCCAGAGUCUCUUUCCUCAAGAAGAUUCUUACUGCAGAAAGGAAGUUGCAGCCUACGAAUUGCUACAGACAUAUAUAAAAUGAACACAAGUCAAAGAUUUUAUUCAACUCAUUAGUUAAUGAAGGAACCACUAGGAUGUUAAAAUCAUUCCAAGGAGUAUUUGAAAAGCUAAGUAUUUAUAGCAACGUUAGGAUAAGAUUGCUGAGUUAGAUACAGAACCUGUCAGUAUUCCGUGAUGGCCACAAAUCAUAACCCACUGAGAUUAUCUGUUCCACCAGACAAAAAUUAUUUGCAUCUCUAUCAAAUUGGUCCGAAAAAAAGCCACGGGCAAGACAGUGCUGAAAGGGUCUUUGGCAAACAGAAUGGGGACUGUCGGGAAGAAGCAAACUGUACUUCCAUGAACAGUGGGUGCUGGGUGGAUGAGGGUGUUUGAGGGGCCACUCAGCCCACGUUAGGGAAGGAGGGAAGAACAGUUAGCAUGGGGUCGUCUUGGGUCCUCCUGGGGAAGACUGCCUGGAAGGAUAAUAGGAAGGGCCUCCAGAUACUCAAGAGCCAAAAUGGGCUUCAUUCCCAUCGAGGGGGCCACAGCCAGAGGCCCCAGAGGGGAUGUCACAGAGUCCCUCAUGAAAGCUUCACUCAGGAAACAGAAUUAGCAAUAGGACUCCACCCUGCCCAAAGAGCACCACGGCCUGAUUGCACCUGUAGUCAGCAAACACCUUUCCUCGAGUGAGGUGGGGGAAGAAAAGGAAAAAAGCUGACCCACCAAUGGUCUCUAAGCCUGAGGCAGGCCAGGACUGGGGAGAGUGGAGAGCUUUAACUCUGGAUGAAGUAAUGUUUUGACAAUUUUGUUUUCACUGGUUAUUUUAUUUACUAAAAUGGAGUAUAUCUCUGUGAUUGAAAAUGUUGGUACUUUUUAUUACCUGAGGAUGCCUGGAAAGGUGGAGAAUCUUGGCUUGAUUUUUAUCCAGAGACAGAGAAGAAAUGGGCCCUCACACUGGCCACAGCUCCUUGGCGUUGAGUGUUUGGGAUGGGGUGGAGGGAGGCCGGGUGUGGUUUCAAACACCAUCUUCCCUCCGAUCUGGGUGCUGAGCUUUCUAUGUGGGCCAGGGAGGAGGGAGAAGGAAAGGGCACGUGCCUCUUCAUUUAACUGGGUACAGCCAUGGCCUUCUGGGCUGGCUGACUGCUCUUCUGUCUCAUUUUCUAUGAUUUUGAUGAGGACGGCAGUAGCUCCAAUGUGUCAGUUGAUAAGGGACUCACGCCCAAGCAGUCAUCUUCCACAUAAAAGAUCCCUCAAAAGAUUUGAUGGAAAAUUCCAACUUAACCCCAGCUGGUGGCUCUCCUACCAUGUUCCUCUGAUGCAGAUGCCUCCUUGCUCUUUCUGUGGAGGCGGUCAGGGCUGUGGCUCCCAAUCACACCUACACAAAUGGGGAGACUGUUUCUUUUUCUCGUUCAGUUCGCACAGCCUGAGCAUGAGGACAAAAUGAAAUGCGUCUUCUCAUAGACACCACCCAUCUUUGUGAAUGAUUAGAGAGGGGGGAGCAUACUACUUCAAGAUGGUCUGUGGGCAGGAAGAACCUCCUUAGUUUUAUUCACGGAAGGCAAUAGCCCCCUUUGGCAAAUGCGGCGCUACUGAAAGGCUGACCCUCGCUAACCUCCUGUGAGUUUUGAGUAGGGGUGGUGAAUGGGGAUGGAGGAGGGGCUGAUUCUAGAAUUAGAACUCUUGAUAAGCCCAUGUUGUUAUGGUUGGGCCCAAGCAUCUAAAGCUCCCUUGGAGAGAUGGACUUAGAAAGUGGGACACUAAGUGCCUUUUGCUCACCAUUCAGAGCCUUAGUUUCCAUUCUGGGGCAACAGGAAAGCCCUCACUUGCCAAUCGUGUUCUAGUUGCUAGGGAAGAGCCACAGAGACAGGCAUGGAAAGCUCUGCCUUACCAGUCAGAUUUACUAUGUCUCUUUCCAAAGUGAAGAAU